rnacentral:rRNA from 1 species
AUUGAACGCUGGCGGCAGGCCUAACACAUGCAAGUCGAGCGAGUGGCGGACGGGUGAGUAAUGUAUGGGGAACUGCCCGAUAGAGGGGGAUAACUACUGGAAACGGUAGCUAAUACCGCAUACCAUCGGAUGUGCCCAUAUGGGAUUAGCUUGUAGGUGAGGUAACGGCUCACCUAGGCGACGAUCCCUAGCUGGGCUGAGAGGAUGAUCAGCCACACGGGGACUGAGACACGGCCCAGAUCCCUACGGGAGGCAGCAGUGGGGAAUAUUGCACAAUGGGCGCAAGCCUGAUGCAGCCAUGCCGAGUGUAUGAAGAAGGCCCGAGGGUUGUAAAGUACUUUCAGUGGGGAGGCGUUACCGGCAGAAGAAGCACCGGCUAACUCCGUGCCAGCAGCCGCGGUAAUUC